GACGGCCUUUCGGGUUGUAAACCUCUUUCAGUAGGGAAGAAGCGAAAGUGACGGUACCUGCAGAAGAAGCGCCGGCUAACUACGUGCCAGCAGCCGCGGUAAUACGUAGGGCGCAAGCGUUAUCCGGAAUUAUUGGGCGUAAAGAGCUCGUAGGCGGUUUGUCGCGUCUGCCGUGAAAGUCCGGGGCUCAACUCCGGAUCUGCGGUGGGUACGGGCAGACUAGAGUGAUGUAGGGGAGACUGGAAUUCCUGGUGUAGCGGUGAAAUGCGCAGAUAUCAGGAGGAACACCGAUGGCGAAGGCAGGUCUCUGGGCAUUAACUGACGCUGAGGAGCGAAAGCAUGGGGAGCGAACAGGAUUAGAUACCCUGGUAGUCCAUGCCGUAAACGUUGGGCACUAGGUGUGGGGGACAUUCCACGUUUUCCGCGCCGUAGCUAACGCAUUAAGUGCCCCGCCUGGGGAGUACGGCCGCAAGGCUAAAACUCAAAGGAAUUGACGGGGGCCCGCACAAGCGGCGGAGCAUGCGGAUUAAUUCGAUGCAACGCGAAGAACCUUACCAAGGCUUGACAUGAACCGGAAAGACCUGGAAACAGGUGCCCCGCUUGCGGUCGGUUUACAGGUGGUGCAUGGUUGUCGUCAGCUCGUGUCGUGAGAUGUUGGGUUAAGUCCCGCAACGAGCGCAACCCUCGUUCUAUGUUGCCAGCACGUGAUGGUGGGGACUCAUAGGAGACUGCCGGGGUCAACUCGGAGGAAGGUGGGGACGACGUCAAAUCAUCAUGCCCCUUAUGUCUUGGGCUUCACGCAUGCUACAAUGGCCGGUACAAAGGGUUGCGAUACUGUGAGGUGGAGCUAAUCCCAAAAAGCCGGUCUCAGUUCGGAUUGGGGUCUGCAACUCGACCCCAUGAAGUCGGAGUCGCUAGUAAU
rnacentral:rRNA from 1 species